rnacentral:lncRNA from 1 species
CGGAGCGGGUGAGGGAGAAGCCCAUUUAGAUUCAGAGGGAAGCCGGUCCUGGGAGACGGCCGCGAGGAACAAAGGCGCCCCAGUGCUGCCCACUUAGCAUGCCAGAGCCGCGCUGCUCGGCUCCCAGGCCGGGGACACGGCCCGGUGUUAAGCGGAGGGUGCCCGACCGCGGGAAUUCCUAAGGCCACGCGCACCUCCAAGGCCACCGCCGCACACAGCUUCGGAGUGCACAGUGCACACGCCCAGGCACAGGCAGCCGGCCCGAGAAAUUGUGAAUGUCUUGGCUUUGAGUUUAUCUGCGUAUCCUGGCGAAGUUUGGAUGCAGAGAACUUGGAGCUGUUGUUUUCUACCAGACACUAGGAUCCCUGAGAGAGGUAAUGGCCCCUAGGAAGGACACGUCACCAUCGGGGUCCCCUGUAAAGGUUAAAUGGAAGAAUAAAGACAUCCCAGGUGAACGCUGAGAAGGGCAAGUUGGUC